GAUGAAGAACGUAGUGAAAUGCGAUAGGUAGUGUGAAUUGCAGAUGUAACGUGAAUCAUCGAAUCUUUGAACGCAAAUUGCACUCUCUGGUAUUCCGGGGAGUAUGCCUGUUUGAGGGUCGCCAAAUCAACAUCGAAAUUCAUUUGCUUUUGUAAAUGUUUAUCGGAUUUGAGCCGUCUUUUAUUUUUUUAAUUAAAGUGGCUUAAAAUGUAUUUUUUGGUAUCGAAAAACGUUAUUUUACGAUCAAAUUGAUUAAAAAAACAAACGUUUCGAAUGCCGUCUUUUAAUGUAAUACGCUUGACUGUGGUGUUAAUCAUAGUUUCAUUCGUAUACGAUUUUUUAAUUUUUGACCUCAAAUCAGGUAAGAACACCCGCUGAACUUAAGCAUAUCAAAAGCGGAGGA
rnacentral:misc_RNA from 1 species